GAGUAUGUUUCUGUGGAGAUU
rnacentral:misc_RNA from 1 species